rnacentral:rRNA from 1 species
CCUACGGGUGGCAGCAGUGGGGAAUAUUGCACAAUGGGGGAAACCCUGAUGCAGCGACGCCGCGUGAGUGAAGAAGUAAUUCGGUAUGUAAAGCUCUAUCAGCAGGGAAGAAACAGACGGUACCUGAGUAAGAAGCCCCGGCUAAAUACGUGCCAGCAGCCGCGGUAAUACGUAGGGGGCAAGCGUUAUCCGGAUUUACUGGGGGUAAAGGGAGCGUAGACGGCGAAGAAAGUCUGAAGUGAAAGCCCGCGGAUUAACCGCGGGACUGCUUUGGAAACUUGUUUGCUGGAGUACCGGAGAGGUAAGCGGAAUUCCUAGUGUAGCGGUGAAAUGCGUAGAUAUUAGGAGGAACACCAGUGGCGAAGGCGGCUUACUGGAUGGUAACUGACGUUGAGGCUCGAAAGCGUGGGGAGCAAACAGGAUUAGAUACCCGAGUAGUC